AGCAUGGAAGCAGAUGUCAUUCCACGGUUGACGAUCGCGAUCGCAGCUGGCUUCUGAGUUUAGAAAGCCCGGCGGACUGCGCCGGGGUUGAAGAGUUGUAGGUAUAACGAACGGUGGCGCGCUAAAAAAGGAGAACGCGAAGAAGAAGAAGAUGAUGACGACGACGACGUGGAGGAGGACGGAGGAGGGCGAAGAGAUCCCCGGAAGUGAGGCAGGCCAGAGGCCGCUUUACUCUCAUAGUUCUUGACAAGGGCAACAAUCGUAAACAAACUAGAGCUGGAAGAGGAGAAAAGAAAUGAGUUGUUCUUCCUUACUUGCGGAGCGAUCGUUCGGGUGGACGGACGCAUAUAUUUUGUACCAGUCUUCGUCAUACCAGACGCCCUCUGCCAGAGCAAUAUUUCAUCGGUCAUCCAACCAGUCGUCGGCACCGGGUUCGGGGUGCUUCGCCAUUCGUUGGAGGAAAAGCAGUCCAGCAGACGACGCCCGGCUUUCAGAUUCUCAAUAAUUCUGUAUUCAUACGCCAUCCACGAGAUUUUCAUAUCGUUACCAAGAUUUCAAAUACAUUCCGACGACCGAAUGUGAAUCGCGAGAGGACACAUUUUCCCGUCAAUCUGUCGCAGUCAUCGGGAUCGUCAAGGGCACUUGGUAUAGAUUUUAUUUGUAAUUUCAACGCAAAUUACCGUCUUCAAUUAAAGGAAGACGGAGAAGACGAGGCAGAAGCGUUAAUUAACGUCGUUUGUACGAUGUGGACCGCUCAAACGUCCGUUCGAUGCAUGAAUAUAUCGAUAAACGAUAUCGUCGUUAUGAUUAUCACUAUAUUUUCCGACGUGCGAUUGACGGAAACGAAUGGCAGAAAGGGGUUGUCGCUUUCCAGCGUACAACUUAUACGUAAGAUAUACGUUGUAUAAAUGAUGUUGAAAUUAUUGGUAAUAAUGUGAAUGCGAUAUCGUAAAAUUAUUCUUACCAACGAUCAGUAAGUGGAGAAUAAUUUUUCCGGAAAAAGGGGUCGGCGAACGGAAAAGUCGAGGAGGAGCACCGUCGAGUUUUUUAUUUGACAAAGAACCCCGUUGUAUCAAGAAAAUAUAAAGCUCGACGCUCUAUCCAUUUUAAUUAUUAUGCGUCGACCUUUAAUUAACGCAUACAAAUUGUCUGCUAGGGACUGAAAUUUUCGGGGUGCAUUUCAAACGAUUUACAUGCAUAAAUGUAUAACGUGAAAUUUGAAUAACCCCCAACUUUUCGCCGUACAAAUAAACCCCUGAAUAUUGUCGUAUAUUUUUUUUUAACAUUCGCAAUAAUUCACUUGUUCGGAUAUCGUAGGGAGGACGAUUUUUGUCCAAUGGAAAUUUUCACAGUUUCAAAAUAGAAAUAUCGUAGGAGAAAUACCUAGCGCGGAUAUACGUAUCCAUGUACCGCUGCACGGAUACGCGAAUACGCUGCACAGAUUAUCAUUAAAGUCAUUCACUCCAAUCAGCACAUCCUCAUUGCCGACUUGCAGUUCUCAUGAUUCGGUCCAAUUGUUUCGCGAAUUUACCGUUACAAUGCGAUAAUUAGGUAACUAUA
rnacentral:misc_RNA from 1 species